rnacentral:rRNA from 1 species
UACGUAGGGUGCAAGCGUUGUCCGGAAUUAUUGGGCGUAAAGAGCUCGUAGGCGGUUUGUCGCGUCUGCUGUGAAAACCCGAGGCUCAACCUCGGGCCUGCAGUGGGUACGGGCAGACUAGAGUGCGGUAGGGGAGAUUGGAAUUCCUGGUGUAGCAGUGGAAUGCGCAGAUAUCAGGAGGAACACCGAUGGCGAAGGCAGGUCUCUGGGCAUUAACUGACGCUGAGGAGCGAAAGCAUGGGGAGCGAACAGG